rnacentral:tmRNA from 1 species
ACUCUUUUGAUUCGUCUCAAGAGUCCCUAUAUUUGGAGCGUCGGGAAACCGACUAUGACGAUAAACACCUUAUGGAAUAAGCGUUGCGGACCCGGGGGCGGUACCCGGCGCCUCCACCAUUCCCGUCCAGCUCGGCUGGCCGGUUCAUGGGGGCGAAAUAGGAUCGACGCGCGUGGUAAAGGUAAGGUUUUCGUCCGGCAUGGUAUCCACCGUUAUCGGGCCAACCUAGAAGUGCCAACGACAAUAGCCGUUUGGCUCUCGCUGCCUAAUAGGUAAGCGCGGUCCGGGGGGCGCCGGGCAACAGAAAGCCCCCCACU